AGUAAAAAAAAAAAAAUCAGAAUGAUUUAUUUUCGAGAGAGCUGUCUCUCUUGAGAGAAAUUUUGAUUGGCAAGAGAGACGAUGACGUGUCACUCUGUAAUUGGUUUGUAUUUUUGGCCAAAGAAAAAAAAAACGCGUGAAAAAUCUCCAGCUUUCCUUUUCUUUCCCCAUCUCUCUCUCUUAAGACAAAACAGAUGGCUAUGGAGAGAAAUCAAUUUCGAGAUCGAUGGAGGAUCGAAUGAGAGUCUUCGAUCAAGAAAUCUUGUAAUUGGUAAGAAUCUACUACUUUUCUGCAGAUUAUCAUGAUUUAAUUUUGGGAAUUUGUUGUUGGUCGAUUAGGGAUUUUGAAUUUUAGAUUUUAGAGUAAAGAUGAAGGUAGAAGUGCAUGUAUCAGUAGCUUAUGGACUCUACUCGGAAGGAAAAUAAAUUCCUAAAUGGAUGACAUUCAUUUCAUCCGUUAAGGUAAUGGAUUGCUGCUUCUCUGAAUCUUAAGACUUGUUAUUGUUUCAUGAACAAAAUAAGGUAAAGAAGAAGAACGGCUGAGUUAAGAAACAAUCAUGAGUCUUAUAUAUAUGCUACCAAAGUGAAGCGUGUGAAGAAAAACAGAACCGAGAUGGGAUGAAGAUUUUCAGUUCCCAGUAGAUGAGCCUCCCAUAAACGAUAAGCUUCACGUUGAAGUCAUUAGUUCUUCUUCAAGAUAACUUCAUCCUAAAGUAGAAACAAAAACAGAUCUCCUUUGAAAUCCCUUUUAAAGAUUGCAUCAAAACCAUGUCUUUGAGAAAUCAAGAACCAACAUUUUAUCUGAUAUGAUCAGCUUGAUCUAAAGCAAUUAUCGAUUUCAUGAGACGUGGCAAUCUUCCUACUGAGACCUUUGUUCUUGGAUCCAAUCAAUAUGGUUAUGAUUUCUUCCUGCAGAUAUGAUGGAUCAAUUGGUUCAGCUUGUCAAGCUAUGGCUGCAGUUGAUCAGUUUGCAUUGCAGUUUGUUCAGAAAAUCAUCUAGCUUCAUCAUUUGCGAAGCUAGAACCAUAUAUAUUUUUACAUGUUUGAUUUUUUUUUUUUUUUAAGAACCUACUUGAGAGAGAUCACCAUUGGAGUAUGAAAUUUUUUUAAAAAAAAA